UGGAUGUGCUCCCUGUAGGGUUCCGCCCGUACGGAAGCUCAUUUGCAGGUUGUUUUAAAACAGAAACAAACACCAUGUGGUAUUUACGGUUUUUAGUUGCAAAAUAGCUUUUUAAUUAAUUAGAAUGCUUAGAAAAUCGAGAGUUGUUGAUUUUACUGUUGGUUGCUGGCACCUAUAUUAGAUGGUGUCGAUAAGUUAACCUGCUGCUAGGGUGUCUUCAGUUUUGAGUUGUUUUUAAUUUCUCUGCUUAAGGCUAUAUUCGAAACACUUAACAUUGUUUUAAAAAAGGGAAAUUUUGUUUCUGAAUUGAGUGAAAUAAAAAUGGACGGCGUCGAAUCGGAUGCUGAAACUACUCAAUGGACACGGGAAAACCUCGAGAAGCUCAUUGCUUCGAUGAAAGACACCAUCCCAGAAAAGGAGCAAACGCAGUCUUAUAUUCGAGGACUGAAAGCUCUAGAGUGGGAUAAAGUUGCUUUCCCCCCAUUUUCUCCAGAGGAAUGCCGGGUUAAGUGGAACAGUAUGAUGGGGAAGAUGCGCAGGUUUCGCAGCCUUCCCGAGCUCCUUGAUGAAGCUGAACAUGUGGUUUCAGACCCUGUCCACCACAGAAAUAUCCCAAAACAACUUACUCCUCCAAAAUUAGCUUAUAUGGCAAAACACAUGUCCAGGUAUAAGAAAAAACACCCUGGACUGACCAUAGGACAGGUUGCGAAGAAGUUAGCCAAGAAGUAUGAUGGGCUCCCAGAGGAAAAGAAGAUGAACUGUAUGAGGAAGUACACCAAUGAAUUUAGCAGAAGAAAGCAGGAGUUUUGUAUAGACAACAAUCUGCCGAUUCCUAGGAAAAGUGGUUCCAAAAGGAUCGCCCCUAAAGAUGGAGGUGAAGGCUGUAGUAAAGACGAAGGUCUGCCGGAGAAGCCUCCUCCACAUGGUCGGGCUCUGUUCCUCAAAGAACAGUCUGAAGCUGGCAGGUCUUCAUUUGGAAGUAGUUUUUUAAAGGAUAUGAGUCAACGCUGGAAGGAAAUGAGUGAAAACGAGAAGCAGAUGUAUAAUACACGCUGUGAAAAGAUGAAAAGAGAGUAUGAAACCAAGCUGAUUGAAUGUCUAGAUGGGUUAGAUGAGGAGAAGCAGCGGAUCAUCAAGGAAAAAGGAAUCAAAUUUUCUAAGAAGACUUUGGACCGAUAUGCGAGACUGCCGGGCGAACCAAAGUUGCCUCGUCGGACUCAGAGGAUGAGUCCUCGUUGCCCUCAGGAGUGAAAAAGGACGCAACAUUGUGAACAAGUCUGAGCGUUGGCCCAUUCCUCCACACAGAACUGAUGUCACUGAGUCAGGAUGAAUAGGGAGAAGAUGAAGAGGAUGACGAGAUGUUUGAGAGGUAUCAUUAAUAACGGACAGAACUGUUGCACACAUGGAAAACCCAGACUAAGGAUUCUGUGAUGGAUACCACGAAGAAAAAUAAAUACCACAUGUAACCUGGGAUUAUUGGACCUGCUGAGGCUGUGCUGUUAGCUGCUUGCAGGGCCGCACGUCAUGCAGUGAAGAACAAAUAAUCUGUGUGCUUUAAGAGUCUGGGUCCUUUAUAAUAAUCACAACUCCUCUGUUGGGAACAUAUUAGCCUAUUAGCCCAGGUGUUUUAUUUUUUAUGAAAGCCAGGAAGAUGCAUCUUUCACCUCGCUUUGGUAAAAACUUUGUUACACUGCAGUACUGAAGUACAAAUUGAUUCAGUGGAUCAUUUUUAUAUAUUUUGCUUUUCAACUCCUAAAACCAUAACAUUACUCCAGAGUUAAUAUGGAGGGUUCCUACUCUGGUUUAAAAAGUAAUCUGUGUUGGUCUGAAUAAAUAUGGAGAAAGUGUUGAUAAUUUGUUGUUUGCAGGUUAUUUUGCUAUUUGAUGAAAAUCAGAUUUUGUUGUUGAAGAACUGUUUAAAAAGGAAGAGUGGUUUUUAAAUAUUGAAACCACAAAUUACUUUCAAAUCCUACACCUUGCUCUGUUCAUAUAUGUUUAUAAGAAAACCAUUGUAAACCUUGAUUCAUCUAAAACGUUCAGUGUCACCAGUGUAUUCAGUAUGCAACUUUUUUCAGUCAGACCUCAGAACUCGUUCAUAGUUUUUCAAUUUUCUACAAAUGGCAACAUCUGUUUAAUAAAAUGAACUCAGUGGAUCAUGAAAAAGGAUUUUAAUUUUUUUGUCACUGCAAGGAUGAAAAUAAAAUAAAAAUAAUAUGCAGA